GACGAACGCUGGCGGCGUGCUUAACACAUGCAAGUCGAACGGAAAGGCCCUGCUUUUGUGGGGUGCUCGAGUGGAGAACGGGUGAGUAACACGUGAGUAACCUGCCCUUGACUUUGGGAUAACUUCAGGAAACUGGGGCUAAUACCGGAUAGGAGCUCCUGCUGCAUGGUGGGGGUUGGAAAGUUUCGGCGGUUGGGGAUGGACUCGCGGCUUAUCAGCUUGUUGGUGGGGUAGUGGCUUACCAAGGCUUUGACGGGUAGCCGGCCUGAGAGGGUGACCGGCCACAUUGGGACUGAGAUACGGCCCAGACUCCUACGGGAGGCAGCAGUGGGGAAUAUUGCACAAUGGGCGGAAGCCUGAUGCGGCAACGCCGCGUGCGGGAUGACGGCCUUCGGGUUGUAAACCGCUUUCGCCUGUGACGAAGCGUGAGUGACGGUAAUGGGUAAAGAAGCACCGGCUAACUACGUG
rnacentral:rRNA from 1 species